AAGGAAGGGGGGCCAGGCAGGGCGGGCGCCAACCUCUCUCUGCUGCGGCCUAGCUGCCUCUCUCUCUCUCUCUCCCUCUCUCGCGUGGAUCCCGCCAGGAGUGGGGCUUUCUCCCUCUUCGGAGCCGGAGGUAACUUCUGAACAAGUUCUGCGAAGAACACCUUGUGAGAGCUUUGCCCGAGGAGUAAGUCCAAAGUGACCUCAAGAUACACAGCAAUGACAACAAGACAAAAUAAGUUCUAGAAAAAUACAUUUCACACUACAUACCUGUGGAAUUAAGAGAGGGGGAUAAGAUUGUGCUGAAAAAAGCUAUGGGAAAGCGAGCAGAAGGCUACAGCAAUAAAAAAAACUGUGCUGUU